UUUCACAGCCCCAGAGCAUUUUUUGUUCUGGAAUUAAGUCAAUAUAUAACAUGUACUUUGACCAUAACUUUCUCUAAGUGGCACAACUUACAAGUAGUAUGUCUGGUUUCCGGCAGAAGCAAUGUAGGUAGCUGGUCUCUGUAUGCUUUCGAGGGUUAGCUUCCAGUUUAGGACUCUAGGUUAUGGUUUAGAAUGAACGAUUUGGGGUAAUACGAUGGUAAGGAUAGGAGCUUGUUGUAUCCCUACGCGUUGCGUCUGUGUCCGCUUGGUUCCUAGCAGUUGGAUCGGAUGCUUAGGGGUCGUCAGUAGCGUAUGAUGAUGCAUUGCGUGCUGGUAAUUCUGCAUGGUGAUGCUGUUGUCAUGUGCAUGCUAGUGAAUAUUUUGCGCGAAUGAUGAUACUGCCGUUCCUUCAUUUUCAAGUACCUUGUGGUUAAGUUGGUAUGCACAUCUGCGCAUGUUUCUGUUAGGUUCGUGGCAGUGGUAAUUCCGGGUUUAGUUAUUGAAGAUUGUAUCUGUAAAUCUAGAUCUGUGUAGGUCCUAGGGGCAUCCUUUGCUAAGGAAUAUGUCGUGCUUAUAUAGUUGCAAGUUGUAUGUUUUUCUCUCCUGUGAUGCUAGUUCUUUGCUACACAUGCCCUUAUGUUUACCACCUUGUUCUGCUAAUAGGGCAGAUUUCUUUGAUGUGACAAUCUUUCUGAUACGGAAUUAUUAAGAAGGGAAAAGAAACACCACAUGCUCAUGAAUAGAUUUGUAGCUCAUUUUAAUUAUUCCAGCAGUACAAGUACAACUGUUGUUGUUGUAGCUUAACAAAUCAAUUUAAAUUUAGUACAAGUAGUAAAAAUUUAACUGUUGUUGCGCUAGCUCCAUUCUACAUGGAAAGGGAGGGAAUCGCAUCCGUAUCCGCGGGUCUGUCUCUGAUGGAGUACAAGUAGUAUAAAUUGAGUUGUGUGAAUCUGUAUCUCUAGUGUGUCUUGCCUCCGAACAGUUGAUCAUUUUUUCUUGGUGAUGAAAUCAAAUGAAAGGGAAACAAACUAUUGUUCUGCUAUGCUGUGCAAUCCAAUGACUUCUCCUUGUUUCUGUCAAAAUAUCUGUACAACUUCAAUUGAUACCAUGCACUAUCAAAAUAUAUGUACAACUUCGAUUGAUACCAUGCACUGUCAACAUGAAUUAUUCUUAUGGUUUUAUGAAGUGUAGUACACUAGAAUGCCUUGUUUGACUAUUUCAUCUCUCCUGCAGUAUUUUUUCUGUAACUGUGCUCCUUGGUUUGGUACAAUGCUUGCCGUUAGAUAGCUUUCAUUGUUGUUAUAAGCUGACCUUUUUUGGUUUUUUGUGCAGAAUCCUCAGAUGGAUCUGCAGGCUAUGUAUUGAUGUCACCGUAUUGGCCAAACACAGCCAGUUCAUGUUUAUCGAUUGGAUCUGUCAGAAUUGUAUACUCAUUUUGUUUGAAGAUAAUUGUUUGAGGAAGUUCACCCAAUAUUGUAUUGUUACUAUCUUUGCCAAUUUGAUGCUUAUCUGCAAAAAUUCAGCAUGCCAAUUACUAUAUCAUAUGCUCCAAGCUUUAUAGAUUCUGUUUUUAUUUUAUCUCAAGCAUUGUACUUCUGUAUUUGUGUCUAUGGUCAACUACUGGUUUUAAUAUGCAAACAACAACAUAGUUAGAGCUGCUAUGUUAUAAUUAAUGUCUACUUUGUUGUAAAUUCUUGCUUAUAUUGGUGUCUUUCCUUCUGUUCCAAGACUGGACAUAUUUCUGUCUGGAUUGUGCAAGUUAAUCGAACUUCUCUAAUUUGAAUAAGUUGGGAUCCCGACUUCCAUCAGUCCUUUCUUAGGUGGAUGUAUAUAGGUGCAGUAGUUUAUCAUCUAUCAACUUUAUAGGUACUAGAGUCAACAAAAAACAAAGCUCGGUUCACUUAUCUACAGAGUAAAGCUUUCAGAAAUAAGUUUGAAGUGUUGAAUCAGUACACAUCUUUUAUCUUGAAUUUUUGUAGUAUGGAAAACACAUUAGUAAAUCUGAAUAACUUUGACAUAUUUUCUCUAUUAUCUUGCACUGGAUUGGUACCUGUGAUUGCCUUGUACAAAUAUAUCAUAAUUCUGCUAACACCGAUCCUUGUGUAUGUCUAUAGCUGUUAGUUCUUUGAUCUGUCCACCGAGGAAGAGGAGGCAUCUUUGAUCUAUCCACAGCCUGGUUCCUCUUUUACACGAGCUCCACGCCUAAUAUGAAGCCAAGCAUGAAGUCGUGAAGCCUAUAUGCAAAGAGUAGCAUAUCAUGUAUUGUGAUAGUAGGUUGUAGUAGGCAUAUUUGACUUGUAGUAGUGUAAAGAUUGUAAUAGACUAAUUUAGUGUUUUUUGGACGAAUUUCAUUUGUUCUGUGAUCUGUUCAAAAUAUUGAUUUCGUA